rnacentral:rRNA from 1 species
UACGAAGGGGGCUAGCGUUGUUCGGAAUUACUGGGCGUAAAGGGCGCGUAGGCGGUGUGUCAAGUCAGGCGUGAAAGCCCCGGGCUCAACCUGGGAACCGCGCUUGAGACUGGCAGGCUAGAGUACUGGAGAGGUUGGUGGAAUUCUCGGUGUAGAGGUGAAAUUCGUAGAUAUCGAGAGGAACACCGGUGGCGAAGGCGGCCAACUGGACAGAUACUGACGCUGAGACUCGAAAGCGUGGGGAGCAAACAGG